GCAAAUAAUGGACUUUUUAGCAUGUUUCACGCAUCAUGAAUGCCAUGAGAUGUACUAGGUUGUUUGCAUUAGAAUUCACGAAUAUGUUGCAUUGCAUACUUUAUUGUUGAUUGUCGUGGAUGAACGUUGAAUGAUCCAAAACCCUCGAUCUAUGAUAUGACGAUGUGAUAUGUACAGUACGGAAUGUAAGACCAGUGGGACCCAUUCUACGUUCGCUGGCACCAUGUAAGGGAAAGACCAGGACCCAUUCUAUGUUCUGGCACAGUUGGACUGUUAUGUUAUGCUAUGUUAUGUAAGAGAAAGACCAGGACCCAUUCUACGUUCUGGCACAGUUGGACU
rnacentral:lncRNA from 1 species